GGGGAUUUAGCUCAGUGGUAGAGCGCUUGCCUAGGAAGCGCAAGGCCCUGGGAUCGAUCCCCAGCUCCG
rnacentral:tRNA from 1 species